UCUACGAUAACUUCGUUGCUAUACAAAGAUUUUCGUCAAACAACCUGUCACUCGAAUUCAAGUAUAAGGUGAACUGUUUCAUGAAAAGAUUUGGGAAAAUGAAAAUAGGAAUUUCUAUCGGUGACUUUUUCUACAUUCGAAAAAAUUUUCUGAUACGGGUAGUAAGUGCAUUAUACUCCAUUUUCUCUUCGGUUGUGCAAGUAACCGGAGUGAUGACCAAAAAGAAAACAUGUAAUAUAACUCCUACCUCCAAGGACUCCGCAUCUAAUAGCACUCAAUAUGUGUCUUUAUAGUUUAUCAAUUAUUACACUACUGAAAGUUCGUGUAAUUAAUUAAGUAAAAAAAUAUUUUACGAAAAAUGCUAUAAAGUACAAAUAGUUUGAAUAAA